rnacentral:rRNA from 1 species
UACGUAGGGGGCAAGCGUUGUCCGGAAUUAUUGGGCGUAAAGAGCUCGUAGGCGGUUUGUCGCGUCUGCUGUGAAAACCCGAGGCUCAACCUCGGGCCUGCAGUGGGUACGGGCAGACUAGAGUGCGGUAGGGGGAGAUUGGAAUUCCUGGUGUAGCGGUGGAAUGCGCAGAUAUCAGGAGGAACACCGAUGGCGAAGGCAGAUCUCUGGGCCGUAACUGACGCUGAGGAGCGAAAAGCAUGGGGGAGCGAACAGG